rnacentral:misc_RNA from 1 species
AAGUCGUAACAAGGUUUCCGUAGGUGAACCUGCGGAAGGAUCAUUACAACGUAUCCACGUACAAACUCGCGAACUGUUCCCUUUCGAGUAAACAACUUGUGGAUGAAGUUAAUGGAUGAGCAGCUCUUGCUGAUGGAGUUCCGGAUUUUCAUCUGGAGCUGAGGGCUCUCAACCGCUGGCAAGCAAUUGCUGGGACUUCGUUUACUCGACUGCGGUUUUACCGCCCAUCAGCGGUGUUGUAUUAACCAAUUUAUUAACCCCAUGUAAAUUCUGAACUGAACUUUGUAGCCGAGUAACUGUCCUUGUUGGCUUCGGUCACGGACGUGCUGCUCAGUUACUAUCUUUAUAAAAUAAAGAACAACUCUUAACAACGGAUAUCUUGGUUCUC